CUAAAAACACAGCACUCUGCAAACUUGCAAAAGGAAGUAUAGAGUGUGACGCCUGCCCGGUGCUGGAAGGUUAAGUGAUGAUGUUAGUCUUUGGACGAAGCAUUUGACCGAAGCCCCAGUGAACGGCGGCCGUAACUAUAACGGUCCUAAGGUAGCGAAAUUCCUUGUCGGGUAAGUUCCGACCUGCACGAAUGGCGUAACGACUUCCCCGCUGUCUCCGGCAUCGACUCAGUGAAAUUGAAUUCCCCGUGAAGAUGCGGGGUAUCUGCGGUCAGACGGAAAGACCCCGUGAACCUUUACUAUAGCUUUGCACUGGACUUUGAAUUUGCUUGUGUAGGAUAGGUGGGAGGCUUUGAAGCGUGGACGCCAGUUCGCGUGGAGCCAACCUUGAAAUACCACCCUGGCAACUUUGAGGUUCUAACUCAGGUCCGUUAUCCGGAUCGAGGACAGUGUAUGGUGGGUAGUUUGACUGGGGCGGUCUCCUCCCAAAGAGUAACGGAGGAGCGCAAAGGUAUGCUUCGCUCGGUCGGAAAUCGAGCUGGACGUGCAAUGACAAAAGCAUGCUUGACUGCAAGAGUGACGGCUCAAGCAGGUGCGAAAGCAGGUCAUAGUGAUCCGGUGGCGCUUUAUGGAAGGGCCAUCGCUCAACGGAUAAAAGGUACGCCGGGGAUAACAGGCUAAUUCCUCCCAAGAGUCCACAUCGACGGAGGAGUUUGGCACCUCGAUGUCGGCUCAUCACAUCCUGGGGCUGUAGCAGGUCCCAAGGGUAUGGCUGUUCGCCAUUUAAAGCGGUACGCGAGUUGGGUUCAGAACGUCGUGAGACAGUUUGGUCCCUAUCUGCCGUGGGUGUUGGAAACUUGAAAGGGGCUGUCCCUAGUACGAGAGGACCGGGAUGGACGUACCUCUGGUGUUCCGAUUGUGGCGCCAGCCGCACUGUCGGGUAGCUAAGUAUGGGAACGAUAACCGCUGAAAGCAUCUAAGCGGGAAGCGUGCCUUGAGACUGGGUUUCCUUUGAGGGUUGUUGCAGACUACGACUUUGAUAGGCUUGGGGUGGAAGCGCAGUGAUGUGUGAAGCUGACGAGUACUAAUUGCCCGAAG
rnacentral:rRNA from 1 species